CUGCAUUCUAAAAGAAACCAUUACAAAAAUAAGGAAAAAUUAAUUUUACAAACUAUGUCAUAUGUUUUCUUUGUUUCCUCAAUAUAACUCUGAUUAGAAUGUCAAACAAAGAUAAAAUCAUCCGUAUUAAUAGUCAAUAUCGUGUAUAUUAUUAAUAUGAGCGUCUUUGCGUUAAAUUCGUGCUACACCACACCAUGCACUUAUAUCGACGUCGCAAUGCAAAAGAAGAAGGGCAAGAAAGAAACCUGUCCUGGUCUGGCGAUUUAAGGGGACAUUUGUUUAAGCCUGUCUAGAUCUUUUAUCAGUCUAGAAAGAUGUUGGAGAAAAGACAUCAUCCUCUUCUAUAAUCUCCAUCUGUAAUUGGACUAACAACUGGACCAGUCAAUGCAGGCAACUUACUCUCCAUUCGACCUUGCAGGUCACACCAUGGUCUCAAGAGGGAAAAUGAGUGCUCUAUGGAUUGAACAGAAAAAGGUGAAUCAAAGCUCCAACAUCUGUAUGAGGGUCUGGAUGGAUAAAGGAUGCCCACUGGAGCUGGAAAUGAUGGAUCAGGUGGAUCCACACUUGAACCAUCUGUAUGAUGAUCUGCACCCACUGGAUCUGUAAAUGGUGGUGCAGAAAGACACAGCACAUCAUUAUAUCGUUGGCUCCGCCCACUGGUGUUCAGUCUAAAGUAGUAGUUGUUGACAAUCAUAAAGUUGUAAUAACAGUAAGAUUGUGAUGUCAGACAAACAUUGUGCUGUUGCUGGCUGUGGGAAAUUAGUGUCUUUGUAAGGGUCGCAAAUAAUUUGAAAAUAUUUAUGUUUCUAAAUAUGCCCCCCUACCAUGAACUAAACUGGACUGUUGCAGAGACCAAGUGUAGUAGGGUACACUACUAUGCAGGUGACAUUCUUUUGUUUAUUGAAGCUAUGACAAAUAAUUUGUCUGUUUAGUUAAUGUUUUAUACAGUGUAACUGUACCUAAACAUUGUUCCUUGAGGUCCUCUGCUAUUUACAUUUUGUAUGUCUUCCUUAUUUAACACACCUUAUUCAAAUCAUCAGCUCAUUAGUAGAGAUCUUCAUGAACUGAACUGAGGCUGUGUCCAAAUGUUCACACUUGUUGUCUUUGCACUAGACUACUUACAUUACGGGUUUUUUUUUUUGUAUUUGGCCUAAGUAUUCUAGUGGGCGUGAAGAUCCCAAGCGUGCAUGUAGAAUUAUUCAUCCGAUGGGACACACUUAGCAUGGGUAAAAAUUUCAAUCCAGGUAGUGCCAGCAAUUUGCACCAAAACGUAUUUGUGUUUUAUUUACUACUUUUAAUUUAUAUUUAACAUUUUUAAGUUUUUCUGUAAAUAAAAUGAACACUCUGAAAUGAACAUUUGCUUAUAUCAAACUUUUAGAUGCAGAAUUCUUUGCUCCUGUAAAAAAGCUCUUUGUUUUGAGUAUGUAGCUUUAUUAAAGUGUAUUAUUUAUUCAGUAGUCCCUAAAUAAACGACACAAUGUUGCAGAUGUUUCACAAAAUGCAUAACAAUAAUGCAGUGAACACCAUAGAAAUGUUAACAUACAAUUAAAAGUCUCAUGCUUUACAUCCAGAACAUGAUGCACGAUAGGAUGCACAAAGUGAUAUUUGGACGCAGCCUCAGUCUGUCAAAUCAAAGAGACAUACAGAAUGCACAGAGCAGUGGGACUCCAUGAACAGAGUUGAGAACCACUGCUGUAACUCAUUAUGCUUACCUGACUCAUGCAGAAUUCUGGCCUGGUGUUUGGUCCCCCCUUUCUCUGGCUUGUGUCUCCAUCAUCAUUACACUCUUGUCAGUGUAAUAGUAUCGUCGUCUGCAUACCAGGACUUUGUUACUCAGCUGUCCCUUCUCCUUCAAGCUACAUUUUUGUCAAGCUGCAACAAGUUGGAAUACAUAAUUAUUAACGUUUAAUGAUUUUGAUGUAUGAAAUAUGUAACAAAAGCAAAAAAUGUAUAGACAUUCUAUUAAGAAAUUACCUUUUUGUUGUUUGUUUACUGACCUUUCAACCAUAUUGCAUUUAUAAUUGAUCAUCAUACCUUUGGUCUACUGUUAACAGGUUACUGUAGAAAACAAAGUCAAACAAAAAAGAGAGAAAAAAUUAUAAAUGCUGAAUGUGUCUCAUCUUAAAUACAUUGUUGUUGUUUUUGUUUCAUUGAUUUUGGAUGUUUUGAUGAUUUAAGGAAAAUUUACGUAGCAUAUAUAUUGAUGUUUUAAAUCAGAGUUUGUUAAUGACACUUAAUCAUUAACAAACAUUUAAAAAGCUUUAUUACAAUACUAAUUGAUAAUAUAUAUGUAAUAAUCUUGUUUUGUAACACCCUAAAUCACUGAGCGCACAAACGCUACCCCUGUUACAAGCAUGAGUGAUUGACUUCAGGCACACAUGCGCAGACAUUGAAGUACCGCGAGAGUGAUUCAAAAGCCCACGAAACAGUGUAAUCACGCGGUACUGUUAUGUCAUACUGGUUAAGGCUAAGCCACGUGAAGCCGGACACAAGGGCUUUGGGCUGGAGUAGCCUGUGGCUUUUAAGGCUUCGUGUCUCAUCGCGUUAAACGAUCGCAGAACGAUUUAUUUCUCUUUUUCACCUCGAUCUUUGGCCUCGUGUGAUUUACCAAAACCAACAUGUGAAGUUACAACGCUGACGAAGGAGUUUCAUCAGUAGAGUGUGUCCUGGAAAACGUGUGCUCGGAAACAUGCAGAAUACAGGAUUUACAGAGCCGACCUUGAGGCACCCACUGAUGGAUAAUCUGUUUACCUUAAAACAG